rnacentral:lncRNA from 1 species
AGCCUUGGGCUAAAGUAGGAGAAGAGUCCACCCCAAAAGCAUGCGCUGGUUUGCUGUGGACUCCAGACCUGGUUGUUUCUUUGCCUCUGCACCUCCACACUGUGGUCAGCUAGUAUCCUUGUCCACCACAGAGGUUUCAUGAAUAAAGCCUAGAGAGGCCUGGAGAAAUCUUAAACAAUCUGGCAAUUCUGCAAGUUGCUCAGGUGUACAUCAUUAUCUUUCGAUUUCUGUGUAAACUACAUCACGUUCACCACCCGGAGGCUAAUUACCAUCUGUCAAGAUGGAGCCUUACUAAAUCUGGAGAGUCUGCCCCUCCCAGGACUAGCCAAUUCCUGGAGACAGUAAACAACUCACCUGCAAGAGCGCCUUUCACAUGUGAACGAAGCGAUCCUGAGCCCACUCACUGAGCACCUCCUUUCUCAGGCUCUUACCCUCUGGGCCACUAUUCCCCUGCUCUAACUGUCCCAGGGCCAGCUACAGACACCUAGAGACAACCCUUGUGCCCCAGAGCCUGCUGAAAUCAUUCAAACUAGCCAGCUCUACACCUGCGCUCCCUGCCUUGCCUGCUCCUUCCUGCAGAAGCCAAAUGAAGACUGGAGCCCACGUUUCCCGGUCGCUGCCUCUGCCUGGGACAGACCCAGAGCUUCCAUGCAUUGCCCCCAUGGGUGGCAUGCUCCCUCCCCUUGGACACUAUGAAUAACAAACUAUUCUUUUCAAGGACAGUCUCCUGACCUGUUGUCCUCAUCACACCUGAAUAACAAUAAAACCUACAUUUUAAAACAGAUGCAAGUGGUUUGAUACUUUUAUCAUUUUUAAAAAGUGGACAC